CGUCCCGCCCGCGCGGCGGUCGGUGCUCUGUCACCGCCCGCUGUGGCCAUGGCCCCAGCGCGUGGCUUGUAAAUUGGCGACCAGAGUUCCCGACGCGGCACUGGUCCUGAUGGCGGCAGCGGCGGCCUUGGCAGCGGCGGACCCCCCUCCCGCGAUGCCGCAGGCGGCAGGAGCCGGAGGGCCCACCGCCCGUCGGGACUUCUACUGGCUGCGCUCCUUUCUGGCUGGAGGUAUUGCCGGAUGCUGUGCCAAAACAACAGUUGCUCCUUUGGAUCGAGUAAAGGUUUUAUUACAAGCUCACAAUCACCAUUACAAACAUUUAGGUGAAUUUUCUCCAUUGCAUGCUGUUCC